rnacentral:tRNA from 1 species
GCCUUCGUGGUGUAGUGGUCACCACGCUCGACGUGUAUUCGAGAGGUCCGUGGUUCGAAUCCCGGCGAGGGCA